rnacentral:rRNA from 1 species
UAACUCCGAUACAGCAGUGGAAACUAGAUGGGCUAGAGGGCGACAGGGGUAGAGGGAAUUCCCAGUGUAGCGGUGAAAUGCGUAGAGAUUGGGAAGAACACCGGUGGCGAAAGCGCUCUACUGGGUCGCACCUGACCCUCAGGGACGAAAGCUAAGGGAGCGAAAGGGAUUAGAUACCCCUGUAGUCUUAGCUGUAAACGAUGGAUACUAGGCGUGGUUUGUAUCGACCCAAGCCGUGCCGAAGCUAACGCGUUAAGUAUCCCGCCUGGGGAGUACGUACGCAAGUAUGAAACUCAAAGGAAUUGACGGGGGCCCGCACAAGCGGUGGAGGAUGUGGUUUAAUUCGAUGCAACGCGAAGAACCUUACCAAGGCUUGACAUCCCGCGAACCCUCGGGAAACUGAGGGGUGCCUUCGGGAGCGC